GACGAACGCUGGCGGCGUGCUUAACACAUGCAAGUCGAACGGAAAGGCCCUGCUUUUGUGGGGUGCUCGAGUGGCGAACGGGUGAGUAACACGUGAGUAACCUGCCCUUGACUUUGGGAUAACUUCAGGAAACUGGGGCUAAUACCGGAUAGGAGCUCCUGCCGCAUGGUGGGGGUUGGAAAGUUUCGGCGGUUGGGGAUGGACUCGCGGCUUAUCAGCUUGUUGGUGGGGUAGUGGCUUACCAAGGCUUUGACGGGUAGCCGGCCUGAGAGGGUGACCGGCCACAAUGGGGCCUAGGUACCGCCCCAACUCCUACGGGAGGCAACAGUGGGGAAUAUUUCACAAAUGGCUGAAGCCCGAUUCAGCAACGCCGGGUGGGGGAUGGCGGCCCUCGGGUUGUAAACCUCCUUCGCCUGUGACGAAACGUGAGUUACCGUAAUGGGUAGAGAAACACCCGGUGACUACGUG
rnacentral:rRNA from 1 species